CCAGCAUCUCCUCAACUGAAAAACGUCUUAUAGGUUGAUUGUGCAGCAGUUUAUUAAGACCAAGAUUUACGCUUUUUUGUUAGGCUGCAGCCCUUUAGUGGCCCUCAGGAGGAAGUCAGGUGACAAAGUAUAAAGAGCAAACAAUUCAAGAUGGUAAACGAUGGGUCAAACGAAGGACUUUCACCCAGGAGACCAGAGAUCACGUCAAAUGUGAAACCAAAAAUUUGUUACUGAUCUGAACAAGAAUGGAGACUCCUGGAUUAGUCUACAGGCCACAGAAAAACGGACACCAACAGGAUGGAUACGGGAAUGGGAGUGGGUGGACAGCUCGCCACUGACAGAAACGUUCUGGGCCG